AUCCUUUCGCGGUGGCAGUAUCGUAACCUAUGAGGUUUAUCCGAGGUGUGAUUAUUGCUGGUUGAAAACUUUAACCCAAUGCCCACCUAGAUGAUUUAAAAUAUAGUCAGCAAUGACAAUUUUUGACGGUCUCUACAGAGA
ensembl:snRNA U4 U4 spliceosomal RNA